CGGCCGUGGUGGAGGCGGGGCUUCUUCUUGGCGCCUCAGCCGUGAAUUUACCUCAGGAAACGGGGCCUCGUUUGGCGCCCAGUUGAAGAGUUGAAAGAGGAGAGAGACGCCUUUCCUUUGGGGAGUCACUUUUACCUCAGGAAAGGCUUUUCUUCCCGUCCAGAGGACCCUCUCUCUCCCACUCGGUUUUAGAAAUUUCUUUAUCGAACCUUUACCUCAGAAAAGCCUUGUGAAAUAGAAAGAAGAAAAUGCCAAUUUUAUUUAUUAAGAGAUUGUCACCUCAGACUUUACCUCAGAAAUGGCCAAGCCUUGUGAAACGGAAGGGAGAAACAAAGGCAAAACUUUUGAAAAUUAGCACAGCUUUUUCUGAAGGGACCAGCGCUGAAUUCAAGUCAAAGGGAAGAAAGGGAAGAAACAAAAGGUCGAAGAGACAGAAGACAGAAGAUGCUUGAAGACACUCUCGCAAGGACACCGCCCGCCCCCCAAAAAAGGUCAUUGUCAGGGUAAUGGGUGUCAGGCUAGGCAUUUCAUGUCUAUCUUUGCAAUAAAAAACAGGCUACCUGUGUGCUAGGCUUUUGCAUGAAGAACACGGUUCCCCUCGUGUGUGGCAUCGAAGGUUCCCACUCGGGAACGGACGGGUCCUCCCUUUGUUCUAGGCAGAUGAUGGGGGUUUUCCUAUACAAGCCGUAGGGGCCACAGCUUGGGGGGCAGCGGGGGGCCCGGCCCUGGCACCGCGGGGAGCAGCACACCUUACGGGCAUUUUAAAAGCUCCCUUAAACUUAGACAGUGGCUAGCAAUAAAAAUAUUAAUACCUUAACUCACCUACUAACCCUACUAACACCAUUCUAACUAGGGCAGGCUGGCCUUUUAAAUAGGACUGUGUUUUGCCUGCUGGCAAGAACCAAGCUGGGAGGGAAGGGGGCCUCCUGGCCCCCCAUAGAAGGGCUCCCCUAGAAGGACAUUCAAAAGGCCCGCAAGGUGUCCUGAGAGCAGCCCCUGGGGCCCUCAGUGUGCCCCCCACGGUGCCAGGGCUGGGCCCCCCGCUCUCCCCCAACCCAUGACCCCUGCCGCCUGUAUCUCGUCCGCCCAGGGCCAACGGACGCCCCCUCCCUCCCCGGGCGGAGCUUCGGCGCCACACACAAGGGGAGGCCAGCCGUGGCCGCCAGAACAUGGCCAACCUGGUUUUGGACUGCAAACAUAGGCAUGUAGGGACCCCCUUUUAUUUAUGUAAGGCCACCCACCCAGGGGACCUGGUUAAAGGGGAUCCUCUAUUCUUAAAGUAAGGCCUAUAGAGAUCUCCUAUCCAGAAACUAAGGCGGCUUGGCCUAUAGAGAUCCCCUUUUGUUAAACUAAGGUGGCCUGGCCUAUAGAGAUCUCUUGUUGUUAAACUAAGGUGGCCUGGCCUAUAGAGAUCUCUUGUUGUUAAACUAAGGUGGCCUGGCCUAUAGAGAUCUCUUGUUGUUAAACUAAGGUGGCCUGGCCUAUAGAGAUCUCCUAUUCUUUAAGGUAACGCCAGGCGAUGUGGAGAUCCCUGGUUCUUUUAACCCUUAAGGCCAACCGUGGGGAGAUCCCUGGUUCUUUUAACCCUUAAGGCCAACCGUGGGGAGAUCCCUGGUUCUUUUAACCCUUAAGGCCAACCGUGGGGAGAUCCCUGGUUCUUUUAACCCUUAAGGCCAACCGUGGGGAGAUCCCUGGUUCUUUUAACCCUUAAGGCCAACCGUGGGGAGAUCCCUGGUUCUUUUAACCCUUAAGGCCAACCGUGGGGAGAUCCCUGGUUCUUUUAACCCUUAAGGCCUGCCUGGGGAGAUAUCCUAUUCUUUUUUCAUGAAAAGUCGGGUAUAGACCUUCUCUUUUCUCUCCCGUUUCAUGUGCCUGGACUCCCGGAGGGCUCCUGCCGGACACCGUCUCCCAUCGGCCGAGAGGGAUCCUUCCUGUUUGGAAAGCAUCUGCUACACAGGUAAAAAGAAGAUUCCGGGAAGGAGAUUCCUACAGCGGAGCCCUAAAGCCAGGUGAGACGUUCCUUCCAACCUCCACGGCUGCUUUGCACACACACACAUGACACACACAUGACACACACACACACGCAUAUACAGCUGGGGGCCCUCAGGGACUCUCCCCCCAAUAGAUCGGGGACUCCCACUCCGGCAAUUGGCCAUUGGAAAUGCCUUGAAGCAGUUUGGGGCUUCCGGCCAAGCGCUCGCAAAGAGAACCCAUUCAAGGUAUACGUGGAGCCCCUUUUAUUUAUUAUUUAUUGACAGCAUUUCUAUUCCGCCCUUCUUUCUCACCCCAAAGGGGACUCAGGGCGGAUCACAUGACACAUAUAGGCAAACAUUCAGUGCCUUUUAACAUAGAACAAAGACAAACAAACAUAAGCUCCGAGCGGGUCUCGAACUCAUGACCUCCUGGUCAGAGUGAUUCAUUGCAGUUAUAAUUGCAGCUGGCUUCCUCUCCCGCCUGCGCCACAGCCCGGGCCAACCUUGAUAAAAAGGGCCUGGCACGUGGAAAACUCUAUUUGUAAGGCAAACCCUCGUUAAAGAAGGUUUGCAAUUAAUUUAAAACCAGGCUUCUGAGGGACCCGCUGCGUUUAAAGCCAAACCUAGCAGGUGGGAACCUCUCUUGUUGGAUAAAGGAGAUCCCCUCUGGUUAACGUAAGGGGAGGGACCCUCCAUUUUUAAUAGGAUGCCUGGCAGAAUCUUAACCUCAAUGCAGGCCUAUGGGGUCCAGCCUUAUUCUCAAUGACUGCAUAGCCAGGCAUGAAGGGACCCCAUAUUAUUAAUUUGAAGCCUGGUAAAAAGAGAUUUAUGUAUUUAUUUAUUUACUACAUUUAUACCCCGCCCUCUUUUCCCUUAAAGGGGACUCAGAGCGGCUUACAAGUUAUAUUUAUAUACACUAUCUCAUUAGCAUAGCACAAUAUUAGCAUUAUAUAUUACUACAUUGCACUAUACCACUAUAUAGAAAUAUUGUUAGCAAUAUUACAUUUAAAAUAUAAUAUGUAAUUAAUAUUAUUGUAUCAUUGUUAGUAUUAUAUUGCUUAAUUUAUUUAUUUAUUUAUUUAUUAGAUUUAUAUGCUGCCCUUCUCACCCCGAAGGGGACUCAGAACGGCUUAAAAAUUAAAUUUACAUACAAUAUUAUAUUAUUAGCAUAGUACAAUACUGGCAAUAAAUUACUAUAUUGUACUAUAUCAAUAUAUGGUAGUAUUAUUAGUAAUAUUACAUGCAAAAUAUAAUAUAUAAUUAAUAUUAUUAUAUUGUAUUAUUAGUAUAUCGUAUUACAAUAUAAUAUUAUGAAUAUAUGUAUAUACAAUAUGUUGUAAUUAUUAUAUAUUAAAUUUUAUAUAUAUAUAUAUAUAUAUAUAUAUAUAUAUAUAUAUACACACACACACACAGUAGAGUCUCAUUUAUCCAACAUAAACGGGCCAGCAGAAUGUUGGAUAAGCGAAUAUGUUGGAUAAUAAGGAGGGAUUAAGGAAAAGCCUAUUAAACAUCAAAUUAGUUUAUGAUUUUACAAAUUAAGCACCAAAUCAUCAUGUUAUACAACAAAUUUCACAAAAAAAGUAGUUCAAUAUGCAGUAAUGCUAUGUAGUAAUUACUGUAUUUAUGAAUUUAGUACCAAAAAAUCAUGAUGUCUUGAAAACAUUGUCUACAAAAAUGCGUUGGAUAAGCGAGUGUUGGAUAAGUGAGACUCUACUGUAUAUAAAAAUUAGAAUAGCAUGUUAUUAGGGGAGGAGCAUCUUAAUUAUUAGAUGUCAGUAUUAGUCAUUAGAUGUUAAUAUUAGUUAUUCAUAUUAGUAUCAAUAUUACAUUAAUAUACAAUAGAGCAGGGGUCCCCAAACUAAGGCCCGUGUGCGGGAUGCGGCCCAUCGAAGCCAUUUAUCCGGCCCCCACAGCACAACCCUUAUUAUUAUUAUUAUUAUUAUUAUUAUUAUUAUUAUUAUUAUUAUUAUUAUUAUUAGCAUUGAGGCUGGGUGGCCAUCUGUCAGGGGUGCUUUGCUUGUGCUUUCGGUGCACAAAGGCAGAAAGGGAUUGGACUCAAUGGCCAACCCUUCCAACCCUCAUAAUUAUUAUUAUUAUUAUUAUUAAUUAUUAUUAUUAUUGCUUGGUGGCCAACUAUAGUCUGGCCCUGCAAUGGUCUGAAGGAUCGUGAACUGGCUCCCUGUUUAAAAGGUUUGGGGACCCCUGCAAUAGAGUAUAUUAUUAUCCUAGCACAAUGUUAUUAUGUUAUAUAGUAGUAUGUAUGUUCAUAUUAUUUAUUCAUAUUAGUAUCAAUAUGACAUUAAUAUACAAUAGAGUCUAUUAUUAUCCUAGCACAAUAUUCAUAUGUUCUAUAGUAGUAUGUUGUUGCUAGGGGGAGGGGCCCCCCACUGAUGGGGAGGGCCCCCCCACUGAGAUCCCCUGUCAUUAAUGUUAGACCAGGCAUUUAACGCCUACCUUUGCAUUCAAGAGCAGGCUCCUAGGCCUUUGCAUUCAAGAGCAGUGCGCUAGGCCUUUGCGCAAGGAACACCACCCACGGCUCCCCUUGUGCGUGGCGUUGAGGCCCCACUCGGUGACGGACAGGUCCUCCCUUUGCCCUGGGCAGGUCGUGGGGGGGGGGUCUCCCUGGAUGUGCAGGGGGUCACGGCUGGGGGGAGAGCGGGGGCCCGGCCUUGGCACCCCCCUGGGGACCCGAGGGGCCGCUCUCAGCCCACGUCACGGGCAUUUUAAAACGUCCCCGGGAUGUAGUAGCUCAGAUUAAUCCCUGCACUAACCGCUAACCCUACUAACCCAGUUCUAACCCGGGCAGGCUAGGCUUUUAAAUAGGACUGUUUUUGCCUGUUGGCAAGAACCAAGUGGGAGGGGGCCUCCGGGCCUCCCGUGGGAAGAAGGGCUCCGGCCCCCCCGGCCCCCCGGCCCCUGCCCUGUGCUGGGAGCCCCCCGCCCGGGCCCCCAGAGGCCUCCCUGUGGUACCGGGCUUGGCCCCCGCUCUGCCCCCAUCCGACGGCCUAGGAAAGCCCCCCACCAUCCGCCCAGGGCCAACGGACGGCCCUCCCUCCCUCCCAGGGGCAGCCGCGUUCCUCACGCAAAGGUCUGGCGCACGGGAGCCUGUUUCUGAAUGCAAACGUGGGGCCCAGGACCCCCCCCCUUGUCUCCGUGCAGGGCCACCCCCCCAGGGACCCCCACAAAUGCCUGGUGACAGGGGAUCCUCUCCUCUUAGCAGGAGGAAAAGCCACGUGCGUAAAGCGGUGCCUUUGCUCCCGUCGUUCCCAAGAGCCCCCCAAAAGCGAGAUGCUCCCCUGGGUUCAGCCCUCCUGACCCCUGUCUUCUCCCUUGUUCCAUGUCUCCAAAAUCCCCGAGGGAGGGGCUCCUCCUGGACAAGAGCCAAGGACGGAAGGACGGACGGACGGACGGACGGAGAUCCCAGAGAGAGAGCGGAGAGCAGGACGCCUUGCCUUUUCGGAGCUGCUGAGGUCGACCCCUUUCCAACGAGGUCAGCUUUCAAGAAGAAAACUCUUCCCAAAAAAGUGUGUUCUGGUUAUUAUUCAAAGGCACAACGUUCAAUAUUUGACAGCAUUAAACAUCUAGAUUACAGGACAGUUUAUGUUACUGCAUUUUAUACACCUGACCUUGUUUUUACAAAUAAAGUACCUGUAUAAUUUUUGCCUCUCUAUAUAUAUAUUGUACUAUGCUCAGACUCAUUGUUCUGAUAUGCUGUUAUAUGGUUUAAUUGUUUAUAUUGUUUAUAUUUUUAAUGUAUGACUGUUUAUUACAUGUGACAUUGGGCUUGUUUCCCAUGUGAGCCACCCCGAGUCCUCCUGGGGGAGAUGGGAGCGGGAAUAUAAAAAUAAAGUAUUAUUUUGUAUUAUUAUUAUUAUUUAUAAUAUUUAUUAUAUAUAAUUUUCUUGCACCCCAAGUACCUCUGGCAAGUGCCAAAGAGUAUUUAACUCUGCCUACAUGGCACUAAAGUGUAUUUAUAUGUUGAUUGUUCCUAUUGAUUUUAUGUUAUGUUUUUUUUUGCUUUGUAUAAUAAGGCAUUGAAUUUUUGCCUUAAUAAUAAUAGUUUUAUGAAUGUUUUAAUGUCACUGAAUUUUGAAUUGAAUUGAAAUGUCAUUGUAAUUGUUUAUAUGUGUAUUUUCUAUUUGUAAGCCACCCUGAGUCUCCCCUUAUUGGGUGAGAAGGUUUGGGAAGAAAUACUGUCAUAAAUAAAUAAAUAAAUAUUCUGUGUC